UACGGGGGGGAGCAAGCGUUUGUUCGGAUUUACUGGGCGUAAAGGGCGCGUAGGCGGCGUGACAAGUCACUUGUGAAAUCUCCGGGCUUAACUCGGAACGGUCAAGUGAUACUGUCGUGCUAGAGUACAGAAGGGGCAACUGGAAUUCUCGGUGUAGCGGUGAAAUGCGCAGAUAUCAGGAGGAACACCGAUGGCGAAGGCAGCUCGCUGGGACGGUACUGACGCUGAGGCGCGAAAGCUGGGGAGCAAACAGG
rnacentral:rRNA from 1 species